rnacentral:pre_miRNA from 14 species
GUCUAACCACUGAAAGAUCCCCAAAGGGAGGCCCUCACUCAAAUCUCGGGAAGUCGAGGACCCCAGACACAUGAGAGACC